UAUUGGUCAGAACCUGAAUGUUAAACAGCAUGAGAGUACUGCUUAAGUGUGCCUUUCGUAAGAUUCAUCAUCAGAUAUUGUGAAGACCAGACUAGAAACAUUUUUCUUAAUGAAAAAAAGUUGUGAAGAAAGUCUACAGCAAACUUCAAACUGACAAAAUAUAGGAUACAUUCCCAUACAAGACAGGAACUAUGUCUAGUAAAAACCCAAGGCUGAGCAAGGAAAUGGUAUGUUUCAAGACCAAGAGAAAGACUUGAUCUAAAGGCCCAAAUGGCAGCUUUGCCCCAAGGGAGGUAAAAACUCAGCCAGGCUUCUCCAAGUUUCUUUACAAUUCAUGGCAAACUGUGGUGGGAAAUGUUUAUUAUGUAUUAUUAAGUGGAAAAAACACAGAAUAAUAUCUAUGCCCUGAUUACAGUUAUGUUAACCUUC